rnacentral:rRNA from 1 species
CUACGGAGGGUGCAAGCGUUACUCGGAAUCACUGGGCGUAAAGCGCGCGCAGGCGGCUUGAUAAGUUGGAUGUGAAAGCCUACGGCUCAACCGUAGAACUGCAUCCAAAACUGUCAGGCUAGAGUGUGGGAGAGGAAGAUGGAAUUAGUUGUGUAGGGGUAAAAUCCGUAGAGAUAACUAGGAAUACCAAAAGCGAAGGCAAUCCUCUGGAACACUACUGACGCUGAGGCGCGAAGGCGUGGGGAGCAAACAGGAUUAGAAACCCGAGUAGUCC